GAUGAACGCUGGCGGCGUGCCUAAUACAUGCAAGUCGAACGAGGUGCUUGAGUAGCAAUACAAGAGUAUCCUAGUGGCGAACGGGUGAGUAACGCGUGGGUGACCUGCCCCGAAGUGUGGGAUAACAGUCCGAAAGGAUUGCUAAUACCUCAUGUGGUUAUCGGAUUUAGAAACUGAUAACUAAAGCAGCAAUGCGCUUUGGGAGGGACCUGCGUCCCAUCAGCUAGUUGGUGAGGUAAUGGCUCACCAAGGCUACGACGGGUAGGGGACCUGAGAGGGUGGCCCCCCACAAUGGAACUGAAACACGGUCCAUACACCUACGGGUGGCAGCAGUAGGGAAUAUUGCACAAUGGGCGAAAGCCUGACGCAGCCAUGCCGCGUGUGUGAAGAAGGCC
rnacentral:rRNA from 1 species